GAAGUAGCAUAGUUGGUAGUGGUACUAGGUUCCAAUGUCAAAGGUCCUGGGUUCAAACCCAGUUACCG
rnacentral:tRNA from 16 species